UACGUAGGGUGCGAGCGUUGUCCGGAAUUAUUGGGCGUAAAGAGCUCGUAGGCGGUGUGUCACGUCGUUCGUGAAAACCUGCAGCUUAACUGUGGGCGUGCGGUCGAUACGGGCAUCACUGGAGUUCGGCAGGGGAGACUGGAAUUUACGGUGUAGCGGUGAAAUGCGUAGAUAUCGUAAGGAAGACCAGUGGCGAAGGCGGGUCUCUGGACAGUUCCUGACGCUGAGGCACGAAGGCCAGGGGAGCAAACGGG
rnacentral:rRNA from 1 species